rnacentral:rRNA from 1 species
UGGGGAAUCUUGCACAAUGGGGGCAACCCUGAUGCAGCGACGCCGCGUGAGCGAUGAAGCCCUUCGGGGCGUAAAGCUCCUUCGACCGGAACGAUAAUGACGGUACCGGGAGAAGAAGCUGCGGCUAACUACGUGCCAGCAGCCGCGGUAAUACGUAGGCAGCAAGCGUUGUUCGGAGUUACUGGGCGUACAGAGUGCGUAGGCGGUUUUCUAAGUUCGGUGUGAAAUCUCCCGGCUUAACUGUGAGGGUGCGCCGAAGACUGGGAAGCUGGAGUGUGUGAAAGGCAAGCUUAAUUCCUGGUGUAGCGGUGAAAUGCGUAGAUAUCAGGAGGAACACCGACGGUGUAGACGGCUUGCUAGACCAUAACUGACGCUGAAGCACGAAAGCG